CCUACGGGGGACAGCAGUGGGGAAUAUUGGGCAAUGGGCGCAAGCCUGACGCAGCAACGCCGCGUGAAGGAAGAAGGCUUUCGGGUUGUAAACUUCUUUUGACAGGGAAGAGUAGAAGACGGUACCUGUCGAAUAAGCCACGGCUAACCACGUGCCAGCAGCCGCGGUAAUACGUAGGUGGCAAGCGUUGUCCGGAUUUACUGGGUGGAAAGGGCGUGUAGCCGGGUUGACAAGUCAGAUGUGAAAUCCCGCGGCUUAACCGCAGAACUGCAUUUGAAACUGUUGAUCUUGAGUACUGGAGAGGCAGGCGGAAUUCCUAGUGUAGCGGUGAAAUGCGUAGAUAUUAGGAGGAACACCAGUGGCGAAGGCGGUCUGCUGGACAGCAACUGACGGUGAGGCGCGAAAGCGUGGGGAGCGAACAGGAUUAGAUACCCGAGUAGUC
rnacentral:rRNA from 1 species